rnacentral:rRNA from 1 species
UACGUAGGGGGCAAGCGUUUGUCCGGAAUCAUUGGGCGUAAAGCGCGCGUAGGCGGCCUUGUAAGUCCGUUGUGAAAGUCAAAGGCUCAACCUUUGAAAGCCGAUGGAUACUGUGAGGCUAGAGUCCGGAAGAGGCGAGUGGAAUUCCUGGUGUAGCGGUGGAAUGCGCAGAUAUCAGGAGGAGCACCAAUAGCGAAGGCAGCUCGCUGGGACGGUACUGACGCUAAGGCGCGAAAGCGUGGGGAGCGAACAGG